rnacentral:SRP_RNA from 1 species
GCUGGGUGCAGUGGCGUGUGUGUGUGUAGUCCCAGCUACUCAGGAGGCUGAGGCUGGUGGAUCACUUGAGUCCAGGAGUUCUGGGCUGUAGUGCUGCUAUGCUGAUCAGGUGUCCGCAUUAAGCUCGGCAUCAGUAUGGUGACUUCCUGGAAGUGGGGGACCACCAGGUCGCCUAAGGAGGGGUAUAACAGCCCAGGUCGGAAACGGAGCAGGUCAAAACUCCUGUGCUGAUCAGUAGUGGGAUCAUGCCUGUGAAUAGCCACUGCACUCUAGCCUGGGAAACAUAGCGAGACCCCGUCUCU